rnacentral:snRNA from 1 species
UAACUUACCUGGCAAGGAAGAUACCAUGAUCAAUAGGUUCUUCCAGGAUGAGGCCUAUCCAUUGCACGCUGGGAAGGCUGACUGCUGUGAGUUUACCAAAUGUGGGGAACUCAACUGUACACUUUUGUGGUAAUGGGGGACUGCAUUUGCACUUUCUCCCU